UACAGAGGGAACGAGCGUUAUUCGGAAUUAUUGGGCGUAAAGAGCGCGUAGGCAACUAGGUAAGUCCCGAGUGAAAUCCCUCGACUCAACCAAGGAACUACCUUAGAAACUACCUAGCUUAAGACCGAAAAAAAAUAGUGGAAUUCCCAGUGUAACAGUGAAAUACGUAGAUAUUAAAAGGAACACCAAUGGCAAAAGCAGCCAUCUGGACCGGUCCUGACACUGAUGCGCGAAAACGUGAAGAGCAAACAGG
rnacentral:rRNA from 1 species